UCCUACGGGAGGCAGCAGUGGGGAAUAUUGGGCAAUGGAGGAAACUCUGACCCAGCGACGCCGCGUGCGGGAUGAAGGCCUUCGGGUUGUAAACCGCUUUCAGCAGGGAAGAAGCGAAAGUGACGGUACCUGCAGAAGAAGCACCGGCUAACUAUGUGCCAGCAGCCGCGGUAAUACAUAGGGUGCAAGCGUUGUCCGGAAUUAUUGGGCGUAAAGAGCUCGUAGGUGGUUCGUCACGUCGGAUGUGAAACUCUGGGGCUUAACCCCAGACCUGCAUUCGAUACGGGCGAGCUUGAGUAUGGUAGGGGAGUCUGGAAUUCCUGGUGUAGCGGUGGAAUGCGCAGAUAUCAGGAGGAACACCAAUGGCGAAGGCAGGACUCUGGGCCAUUACUGACACUGAGGAGCGAAAGCGUGGGGAGCGAACAGGAUUAGAUACCCUGGUAGUCCACGCCGUAAACGGUGGGCACUAGUUGUGGGGACCUUCCACGGUCUCUGCGACGCAGCUAACGCAUUAAGUGCCCCGCCUGGGGAGUACGAUCGCAAGAUUAAAACUCAAAGGAAUUGACGGA
rnacentral:rRNA from 1 species